rnacentral:rRNA from 1 species
AGCUCCAUUAGCGUAUAUUAAAGUUGUUGCAGUUAAAAAGCUCGUAGUUGGAUUUGGGACUGGAGUCGUCGGGUCGGCCGCGAGGUCUGUUACUUGGCGGCUCUGUCAUUACAAUUCCCAGAGACCUGUCGUGUGCUUGACUGUACGCGGCACGGGAUUUGGGACGUUUACUUUGAAAAAAUUAGAGUGUUCAAAGCAGGCUUUCACAGCCCGAAUACAUGAGCAUGGAAUAAUGGAAUAGGACCGCGGUUCUAUUUUGUUGGUUUCUACAACCACAAUAAUAAUUAAGAGGGACAAUUGAGGGCAUCCGUAUUUCGUUGUCAGAGGCGAAAUUCUUAGAUUUACGAAAGACGAACAACUGCGAAAGCAUUUGCCAAGAGUGUUUUCAUUAAUCAAGAAC